rnacentral:rRNA from 1 species
CAAGCGGUGGAGCAUGUGGUUUAAUUCGAUGCAACGCGAAAAACCUUACCUGGUCUUGACAUCCACGGAAGUUUUCAGAGAUGAGAAUGUGCCUUCGGGAACCGUGAGACAGGUGCUGCAUGGCUGUCGUCAGCUCGUGUUGUGAAAUGUUGGGUUAAGUCCCGCAACGAGCGCAACCCUUAUCCUUUGUUGCCAGCGGUCCGGCCGGGAACUCAAAGGAGACUGCCAGUGAUAAACUGGAGGAAGGUGGGGAUGACGUCAAGUCAUCAUGGCCCUUACGACCAGGGCUACACACGUGCUACAAUGGCGCAUACAAAGAGAAGCGACCUCGCGAGAGCAAGCGGACCUCAUAAAGUGCGUCGUAGUCCGGAUUGGAGUCUGCAACUCCACUCCAUGAAGUCGGAAUCGCUAGUAAUCGUGGAUCAGAAUGCCACGGUGAAUACGUUCCCGGGCCUUGUACACACC